rnacentral:tRNA from 1 species
AUGGUGUCGGGGCUUCUCCCGCUU